UACGAAGGGUGCAAACGUUGCUCGGAAUUAUUGGCGUAAAGCGCACGUAGGCGGCUCUGUAAGUCGGAUGUGAAAUCCCUCGGCUUAACCAAGGAAGUGCAUCCGAAACUGCAAGGCUUGAGUACUUAAGAGGAUCGCGGAAUUCCCGGUGUAGAGGUGAAAUUCGUAGAUAUCGGGAGGAACACCAGUGGCGAAGGCGGCGAUCUGGGAAGAUACUGACGCUGAGGUGCGAAAAGCGUGGGGAGCAAACAGGG
rnacentral:rRNA from 1 species